CAUUUUGUUUAGGUUUUUUUUCAUUUUUCCUGCACCUUCUGGUGCUGGCUUGGGGUAAGCAGACGGUCUGACUUCCCCCCAGGAAGGCAGCUUUACUCCAAGCUCUUCUUCAAAGGAGGUAGAGCUGGAAAUCUUUUGAAGGAUCCUGCUCUGAAGUCCCUGAUUUCUAGUUACCGCAGAUCUCUUCCUGGAGGGCUGGGGAGACGAGGUGAAUUUUCUAUAGUAAUGUCUGAGUUCUUGCACCCAAACAGCUUCUCCACGUCGCCUCCUGUUUAUUCCUUGGGAGAGAGAACAGAGAAGGAAAAUUACUUUUUCCUCAGUGGAGCCAAUCUUGCAUUGGAGAAGCUGUGCGGCGUGCUCCCCUGGGUCGAACUCGGCUUAGUACGAUAUUUCUGGCUCUGCAUGAAGUCCCAUUGAAGAUCGUGGGUCUUAUGACACCCUUCGUUCCGGCUGAAUGUAAGAUGCCAUUAAGGUCCCCUGGGGAGUAAGACGGCCAAAACGCAGCCACGGGCAAGGCUGUGUAGGAGCUGAUCUACGCAAGCCGAGGGUUUUGCUGAGCAGCGGAUGCGAUCGCAGGGCGGCUGGUGUUCGGGCACGUGUCCGUGAAAGGCAAGGACACGGGAAUCCCGAGAGAGGCGUGGGGCUGGCGGUGUUUUAUGGGCAGAGCGCUGGCUGGAAAGGAGACGCGCAGCUGGUUGUAGCUUCUUGGCUCCCAAUUUCCCGAUUCCUCCAAGGAUAUAGGACUCUGGCAUGCUUUACCAACAAGCAGGACCGCAUCGAAGGAAAUGCGUGUCUCCAUCAUCACUUUUUCCUCCUCGUUUGGGUGGGUGGGGAGCAACACAACUCCAAAUAUUGGCGGGCAGCUCCAGUCGAAAGGGGUAGCACCACUGGAGAGUCACUGAGACCUCCUUCCACUUCCUGGCUUGUGGCUUCCUCUUGGACACGGCCCACCGAUUUGGCCCAGCAGGUCUCAGGAAGCUUAACUGGAUUGACGGGGGAUGUAGCACGAGGACUAGCUCUCCCCAGUCAGCUUCUCCUUGGACACAAACAGGCCUCUCUGAAAGACAGAGCGGUCAUCUCGCGGCCUCUUCACGCUCUCCGUAAGGCUGGUUUUCCCCAGACGGAAGUGUAGCGUUUUGACACGUGUGUGCAUAACGACCGGGACGCUGGACGAGACGCCUGCCUAAGGACAGAGCCUGCACCGUGCCUCCUCUCGUGCAGCGAGCAAGCCCGAUUUCCAGGGAAGCCGUGGAGAGCUGGACCAGCCUGCACAACACCUGGAUAAAUCUGCGGUCUUUACAUUGUGAGAUCCUUAGGCGAGGUGAUGCAUUUGAAACUGCUGUUAACCAAACCUGACAUCGUGGGUGAAUAAAUGCAACCAAAACCAGGAGCAAUAAGCAGAGCUCAGUAAGCUCUCCCAUUCAAAUGCCAUCCUCAGACUAUUCAGGUCACAGUGGCAUCAGCUUGUGGCUGUGAAUCGCUCUUAUUUUUUUCUACACCUUACUGUCUUUGCUGUCAAGCCAGUAUUUAGAGGGUUUUCUUGAGACUUAUCUUAAUGUUUGAUAAAUCCCCGAAGAUCUCUGAUAAGAAAAAGGCAGGAGCAAGAGUAGGGUGUCUGCCUUGGGCCAUAUGGCUGCAAAUAGCUGUCAUAUUUGUCCCGGGGUAAAGUCUUUGCCCUGGGAUCCUACAGACCAGGGGUAUAACAAGGCAGCCGGGGCAGUGGUGACUGGCUGCUGCCAUACCGCUGGUGUGAUUUGUGUAGCUAGUUUGUUUGGGGUUUUUUCUGCCCUCCUCCCAUAACCUCCCUGCCAAGCUCCAUAAAGCUUCAGGGAAGGGUGGUCCUGCACGUCCUUUUGGAAACGAGAACCUCCAAUGUUUUUUCUUUAAAGAUCUGUACGCAUUUCCAGUUGGCAUCAGACCUGAGGUCAAAGUCCCAAAGGGGAGAGUAGCCAACUAGCCGUGGCAAUCUGCAGUCAGCUCCAGAGAGCUAAUCUUUUAUGUCCGUCAGCACCGAAGGGCUAGAAGUCCAAGAGCUACUGAAUGAGCCCAACAGCUGGCAUAAGAAGACCUGUUUAUCCCAUGGAAGAGCACAGGAAUAUCACAGCCAACCCCAGCAAACUGUGCAUCCGGAUUAAAUAGAUCAUUGUGGUCACAAACCCUUGAAAGAGGCUGGGCUGGGCUCGCCGUGAAUGAGAUGUUAUAGGAUCUCGAUAUCCCUAUAGGACGCUCCAGUGCUAGAUGGCUUUUAGCCUUUGGUUCCUCGAUGCGAGGGGAAAGGUGGUACGGAGUGACGAUAACUGAGUUCUGGUGUGGCCACAGCGAUCAGAGGCAACUUGAGGAAGGUGGCAACCUGUUGCAUGCAUGGCUCCAUCUCUCAUCCGUGGGUUGAUGACCGAUCGGUCGGAUGCAGGUGGUGCCUACUUACAUGGUGGGUGCAUGGGGUGGAUGGUCUCUUCUCUAUCGAGGACAUCUAUGCUUGAGUGGGUGGCUGUAAUUUAUGGUGGCUUUAAACCAAGUGUGCCUCAGCAAGCUCAUGCGAGCCAAUGGAGUUCAGGUUGUGAAGUGUUUCUGGCCUGGCCCUGGUUUACACUGAAGAUUUAAUCCAUUGCACGCUCUAGAGGAUGGGGAGUGCGCCCACCUUCCUCUUUGUUGAGUGUGCAGCAUUAAAAAAAAAACCCCUUCCAGCUGAGGCUUCCUUGGGUGACUAUAAUACUUAAUGUUAUUCUGCCUGUAUUUUAAUCAGCUUACUAUGGGAUGCAGAUAUGGGGCUGUUAUGCCAAAGAAAAAACUUUCUUUCUAUUACAUUUUUAACCGGUACAGCAAUGUGUAGAUCCCUUCUUAAGAUGAACAUUACCAAGACUGUUCUUGUAGCAGCAGGAGUCAUUUCUAAAUGAUCCAAAUUUGACUUUGUUAAGAUUUCAUUGGCAAUUUCUUGACACGUAUUCAUUUUAUUUUUCUAGCAGAAUAACCCCUUGCUUGUUCCAAAUGGAAACCCAGUUUUAUUGUUGCUUCUAGGUCACUAGGCCAUGGAUUGUUACAUGGCCAUCAUUUGCAUUGCUUCGGGGAUGGAUCUUCAUCCUUUAGACUUGUGUUUCCAAGGAUGUAGGAUGGAAACAUUGGCUUCAGGGUGAAACUUGACUCCUGGUCUAUGGCACUGGGAAUAAACCAGGCAUCAAUAACGGGCAGGGAUUUGGCAAAAGUCUCCUUGUCCAGUUACGUGAGUGUCAGCACAAAUGUAUUGAAUUGUUUGGAGGUUAAAUUUAUCUUCCUACCUGAACAACGGGUUCUUUUUUUCCAUAACAUCAGAUUUAAUGAUUUAAUCAAUAACUGGGACCUUAUUGCUUUUAUAAACUGAACUCAUGCUUUUUCAAUGUUUCAACUAGCAAUUAAAAAAAAAAAAUAAGUAUAAGCCUAUAUUGAAUCUUAUCUGGCCCAAUACCAGAGAUACCUGGGACAUGAUACCUCCCCCCACGCCUUGAAAAAUUUCGACCAAAAAAAAAAAAGUUUUUGUUCUUCUUUGGGGCGUGCGUGUCUAUCCAGUCAUCCCAGUCUAUCUGGUCCCCUUCAAGCAUGUAACCAACUCGUUGCAAUUCAGGCUUCAAUGGCAUUACAUUGAUUUCCGCUAGCUGUCUACGCUUCCAGCUCUACAUCACGUUUGGACCCGAGACCCGCUGAAGUCGUUAGUAGUUUUGUCACUGUCUACAGUGGAAACAGCACUGGACCCUUGUCUUAGUGUGUGAAUAGCAAAUGGUGAUGUAGAGUGUUAUUUUAAAUCUGGUUCAAGACCCCAAGUCAAGCUCCCUUCAAUCAAACAUGUAACGGGAUCCCAGCGUGUAGCAAAUAUUACUUAUUACAUGCUAGUUUUCUCUCGUGGUCAUUGCCCCACUAGAACGGGUGUGAACGGGUGAAUAAAAAGUCCUAUGGCUGGUUUGAAUUGAAGUCAUAUUUUGCUUGUAAAUGUAUUAUUUGCCUCCAAAGUCCUCCUCAGGUUCGCAUCAGAAAGCGAGGCUUAUGCAUCCAUGAAGGCCUCCUUAUCCACGCCAUAAAAAAGAAUUUUUAAACAGUUUUAGAGGUCUCCGGGGCUUCUCUCUUUCCUGCAAACAGAGCUGCCUGUUGGUUUUGGAGGCCCAAGUUUCCCCCAGUGGGCUUCCACAUUCUGUGUAUAAUUAGAAAUGAAGAUCAUUCCUUUCAUCUUUAAAAUAACCAAGCCUGAUGACUUGAGAUCAUGAAAAUUUAAAGCAUGCUUCUUGAUUUUUGUCCCAUGUUGUAACCUCUCCAGAGCCUGAUGUGCUUACUUAUCAGCCAUGGGUUUACCAGGCCUAUCCUAUAAAAUUUCCCUGCCACGAGGACUGAGCGUCCACCGAAGAUCUGAACUUAAGGAGUAUUCUUAGCCGAGUUUGCAAACUAGCUGCUGGUGAUAUACAGAGCUGCAGCAAACAGCUGAACAGUUUGUCCUUAACUCAGCAAGUUGUUGUGAACAAAGUAGAUGGUGAACCAUCUCGAUAUGGGAAAUGCAGGUUCUAUUGUAUAAUUUAACAUAUUGCAAUCAUGGGUGGAUCUAGGAUUUUAUAAAGGGGGGUGCAGAUCAUGUGGUGCAUCAUCAUAUCUAACACAAUACCUUUUUCUCCAAUUAAAGAGAAACUAAAGGCUUUAAUAAUAGGCUAGAGACCUAGAGCCAUAUUAUUCAGCUUAAGAUCAAAGGAAAAAGAAAUAUAACUUUAUUGGAAUGCGCAUUAAUUUGGUAGAUCAUACAUACCGGUUUAAAAAUACAACAAACGAGGCAAAUCAUUGUCAAAAGACAUUGCUCUGUUAGUCUUGUGGUCCUGAUAAUUAAAUGUACGUGUCUUAUUCAGAUUCACAAAA